CCAGACUCCUACGGGAGGCAGCAGUGGGGAAUAUUGCACAAUGGGGGAAACCCUGAUGCAGCAACGCCAUGUGAGUGAAGAAGCGUUUCGGCGCGUAAAGCUCUGUCAGCGGGGAAGAAAGAAGACGGUACCCGACCAAGAAGCCCCGGCUAACUACGUGCCAGCAGCCGCGGUAAUACGUAGGGGGCAAGCGUUAUCCGGAUUUACUGGGUGUAAAGGGAGCGUAGGCGGCGCGUUAAGUCUGAUGUGAAAACCCGAGGCUCAACCACGGGAGUGCAUUGGAAACUGGCGGGCUGGAGUGCCGGAGAGGUAAGCGGAAUUCCUAGUGUAGCGGUGAAAUGCGUAGAUAUUAGGAGGAACACCAGUGGCGAAGGCGGCUUACUGGACGGCAACUGACGCUGAGGCUCGAAAGCGUGGGGAGCAAACAGGAUUAGAUACCCUUGUA
rnacentral:rRNA from 1 species